rnacentral:rRNA from 1 species
GGUUAUACUUUAUGAAAGUAACUUUGUUUUAUUAAAAAAAAAUUAUUUUUAAUAUGGUUUAAUAUUAUAUAAAAAAUAAAUUUUUAGUGGUGGAUUUAAAAAAUAUCUUAACAUAAAAAGGUUAGUAUCUUUGUAUGGUAUUUUUAAUGAAAGUAGUUUAUAAAACUUAAAAUAAAUGGUAGUAAAAUACCCAGGCUAGGGAAUUUUAAAAUUUGAUUUGAUAAUCCUCAAUUUUAUUCACUUUAAAUAAUUUUAUGUGUGGUUGUUUAAAAACAUUUUUUAAGAUGAAUUUUAGUUCAGAUUUUACGUAGUAUUUUAAAGGAAUUUUGAAGUGUUGUAUAAGAUUAAAGAAAAAUUGUAUAAUUUCUAAGACUUAGAAGUAAUUAAAAAUUUA